AUGGAUCUCCCAGAAGAGGUGCUCGCCGACAUCCUCCGCCGCGUCCCGCCGCGCCACCUCGCCGCAUGCAGGCGCGUCUGUGCGGACUGGCGCGCCACCAUCGACGCCCGCAGGCUGGUCCUCCCGCACCUCCUGCCGGGCGUGCCGCGCGGCGCCUUCAUCAACGUGGCCGAAAGCUUGCGCGACACCUACUUCUUCGCGCGCGGCGGGCCCGCCAUCGGCUUCGACACCCGUCUCGCCGACGCGCCGACCAGCUGGUGCACCUCCUUCGUGGACCACUGCAACGGGCUCCUCCUGUGCGAGGCCGAUGAGGGCACGCGCUUCAUCUACAACCCGGCCACGCGGAGGUCAGCGGUGCUGCCGCCCGCGCCGAGCUCGGGGCCCCGGGAAGUCGCUUCCGGCGCCUACCUCGUGUUCGAUCCCUUUGUGUCUCUCCACCACGAGGUGCUGGUGCUCCCCGAGUUGCCAGGCGAGCCCCAGCCCCCCGAACCUGCCGACUCACCGCCGCCGCCGCCGUUCAACGUGGGGCGGCUCUUCUUCGCGGACGCAAGAGACUGGCUGUCCUGGGACUCGGAGGACGAACCGCGGAAGCGUGCGAGACCCCGUCAGAGCGAGCACGUCGAGGCGAAGGACACCUUGGGGCUUAUGGAGUGGCCGCCGUCGCCAUACGUGGCGCAAGUGUUCUCGUCCGAGACCGGAAGGUGGAGCGACAGGGCGUUCGUCCGGGAAGGCGGCGCCGCGGGGACGGUGGCCGACAUGUGGUCGGAUCCACUGUCACCCGGCUACGGAAUGGGAUUUGGUCAUUGCCGGCCGCGCCGUCGCCACGCCGUCUACUGGCGGCAAUCGCUAUAUGUCCAUUGCCGCGGUGGUUUCAUCGUCAGGUUGUCGCUGCUGACGGGAAAGUAUGUGGUGAUAAAAACCCCAGGAGUUACCAAAGUCGCCGAGCAUAGGUGGGCUACACCGUACCUGAGCAAGUCUCGGAUGGGGGUUUACUACACCAAUGUCGACUGCCUAAAGUUUCAGGUAUGGGUACUGACCGAGGAAUUACCGACGGCAACGCCGGUGUGGGAGAUGGCGCAUCACGCCGACCUCGAGCCCUCCAUCAGGCAACUCAUACGCAAAAACUUCCAAAACGCACAAAAGUAUUGGGUCCUGGAGGAUCCCAGGAUACUCGAAUCGUCGACGGAGCAGGGAUACCACGAAUGGGACUCUGACAACGACGAUGAUGAUGGCACCAAUGUCGCUGAAGAAGAAGAAGAAGAAGAAGAAGGCGUCGCCCUAGGCUGGUACAUUGGUUGGUUGGAUUUCUUGGGGUAUCAUCCUCGCAAGGAGAUCGUCUUCUUGGGCCACCAGUACGAGCGUCGCGCUUAUGCCUACUACCUGAGCACUUCCAAGCUUGAGUACCUUGGUUAUCUUCGGUUGGCACCACGGGACCAGCGUUUCCCGGCUUGCGUGCAGGAGUCGCACGUGUUUACCCCGUGCAGGAUCGACCUGCUUUAUGAUCAGAAUGGUGUCUCUGUUGAUUUGAGUAAAUGGGUUUCAUAA
rnacentral:rRNA from 1 species